GGAGGCGCUCGCCGAGCUGGUGCUGGCCGCGGGCUUCAAACCCGUUGUGAGGCGGUGAUCCCGUCCCGGGCAGGUUCGAUUCCUGUGCGCCUCCG
rnacentral:tRNA from 1 species